CUCCAUUCUGCCAUCUUCACUGUCAUCCAACAGCCCUUCCAGUCCGAGACUGGUGGCCAGCUGUAUAUCAAGCCCGGCUGCUACGCUUUUUCAAGAAAUGUACUCUGACAGCCCCAAUGACUUUACUGAUGAAGAUGAUUUGAGGCUCCCCAGCACAUCAGAAGGUGCGGCAUCUGCUGCUGGCUCUUCAGGGUUGUCAACUUCACAAGCAGGAGCCGCUGCCCCAGAUCCAGGGUAAGAAAGCUGUGGGCACUUUCUUUGAUUGGAAGCAGACAUACUUUUCCAGUGCAUUUCUUGAGUGUAAUGAUGUGGCCUGUCCUGCAGGUCUGCCAAAAGGUGAGCAUCAAAUGGACCUUCCUCUCGGUACGGGCAUGGUUCACAUUUCCUGCAGUAUUUGAAUGAUAAUCAGUGAUUGCAAGAAAACAUUGUGCUGGUAUAUUUAUAUGCAGAACCAAAAGAA